UGGGGAAUUGUUCACAAUGGGCGCAAGCCUGAUGACGCAACGCCGCGUGGAGGAUGAAGGUCUUCGGAUUGUAAACUCCUGUUGCCCGGGACGAAAAGCUCCGACCUAAUACGUCGGAGUCUGACGGUACCGGGUGAGGAAGCCCCGGCUAACUCUGUGCCAGCAGCCGCGGUAAUACAGAGGGGGCAAGCGUUGUUCGGAAUUACUGGGCGUAAAGGGCGCGUAGGCGGCCUGUUAAGUCGAACGUGAAAUCCCCGGGCUCAACCCGGGAACUGCGUCCGAUACUGGCAGGCUUGAAUCCGGGAGAGGGAUGCGGAAUUCCAGGUGUAGCGGUGAAAUGCGUAGAUAUCUGGAGGAACAUCGGUGGCGAAGGCGGCAUCCUGGACCGGUAUUGACGCUGAGGCGCGAAAGCCAGGGGAGCAAACGGGAUUAGAUACCCCGGUAGUCC
rnacentral:rRNA from 1 species